UACAGGUGCAAUAAAUAAAGCUGAAGUGAGAGCAGAUUUUAUUGUACAACCAAACCAACAUGUUUAUUGCCAUAUAUGCUGUUUUCUUCUCUUUGGUCACAGAAGCUGUUCUGGGAGUGACACUGGAGCAAAAAGAACUCUUAUGGACAAAAGAGGAGAUUAAAACUGUGUACAUCAGCUGUAAAGUGACCGGAUUAUCCAGUAGCAAUUAUGUCCACUGGUACCAAAAGAAAGACGGUGAAGUUCUCAAAAGAAUCCUAUAUGUCAAAAGUGGAGGCUCACCGGUUAAGGAUCCUAACCAUCCUGAAGCAAAGAGCUUUGAUAUGAGGAUACAGUCGGGUAAUUACGAUCUGAAGAUAGCAAGCCUGAAGAAAAUUCAUGAAGCAGUGUAUUACUGUGCCAGCUGGGACUCAAGUGGCCAUGGUGACAGUAACUAUUCACUGCGUGUACAAAAACCAAGCACAACAGGAAAUUGUAUUCACAGGCAACGGUAUGAAGUGUGACAACAUGAACUGUUACGACCUUUUUAUGCGGGGUCUAGAGAAAGGAGUAACAUUUUAUGGCUGUGGUUCUUUUGGGGGUGUGGUAGGCAAAGAACUGCAGGGACAAGAAAAUGACCAUGAAAUGGUUUAUUGCCUGAAAAAAAUAAGAGGUAACGGGACAACUCAAGCCAAGAACAUAAGAAAAAGUUAAACCAAGAGAAAAUAAGACGGUAAUGACGCCAAAGAAAAGAAAGAAAAAUAACAAAAACCAAUACUAACUCUUUUUUAACCCUCUAACCUAUCUAAUGAAAUAAACAAGAAACAAAACUCCAGUGCCGUAGUCGAAACGGAUAUCUUUAUUUGUAUUUUAGUAAUAAAAUGUUCUAGCACCUUCAUAUCCCCCCCUCACACCGCCACACUUACAUAAUCCAAUACAUUAG